rnacentral:rRNA from 1 species
CCUACGGGCGGCUGCAGUGGGGAAUCUUGGACAAUGGGCGCAAGCCUGAUCCAGCCAUGCCGCGUGAGUGAUGAAGGCCCUAGGGUUGUAAAGAUCUUUCGCCAGGGAAGAUAAUGACGGUACCUGGAUAAGAAGCCCCGGCUAACUUCGUGCCAGCAGCCGCGGUAAUACGAAGGGGGCUAGCGUUGUUCGGAAUCACUGGGCGUAAAGCGCACGUAGGCGGAUUUUUAAGUCAGGGGUGAAAUCCCGGGGCUCAACCGCGGAACUGCCUUGGAUACUGGGAGUCUAGAGGCCGGGAGAGGUGAGUGGAACUGCGAGUGUAGAGGUGAAAUUCGUAGAUAUUCGCAAGAACACCAGUGGCGAAGGCGGCUCACUGGCCCGGAACUGACGCUGAGGUGCGAAAGCGUGGGGAGCAAACAGGAUUAGAUACCCGAGUAGUC